UCGUUGCCUUUCGAAAAACACGACCGUCGAACACGUGACAGAACGCUGCCGGGGAGGCGCUCGCCGCCUGCUCGGCCCCACCGGUCGCUUCCCUCCCGCCCUCCGGGCGUGUCGGUCGUCGGCCGGAACACGGCGCGGGAUGACGCCAAGGAACACGAGAAAGCUGAGGCACCGGCGGGCCGCUCGAGGUCUGUGCCGGUYGCCGAGGCGGAUGAAAACAAAAAUAYGACUCUCGGCAACGGAUAUCUCGGCUCUCGCAUCGAUGAAGAACGUAGCGAAAUGCGAUACGUGGUGUGAAUUGCAGAAUCCCGUGAACCAUCGAGUUUUUGAACGCAAGUUGCGCCCGAGGGACCCUCCCGAGGGCACGCCUGCCUCAUGGGCGUUAGAAGCCCAUCCACGCUCGGCUGCCUCACGGCAGAGAUGCGGACAUUGGCCCUCCGAACCGCGAGGYGCGGUGGGCCUAAGUGUGCGGCCGUUGUACGUGGCCGGGAGCGGCGAGUGGUGGGCGACUGCGCACGUCACCCCGAGCCCCGUACCGACACAGGGCCUUGUCUGACCCCCUAACGAGGAGCACGCCGCCGCGGCUMGCGCCGCGCGGCGCCUUCGGACC
rnacentral:rRNA from 1 species